AAAUGUAGAGCAGAAAUAAACUAGCCAAAACACUAAAGCGCUAGAGAGAGCUCCAGCAGUAAUGCACAUCUUCACAGAAUUCACUGAGAAUGCACAUGCUAGAGAUGGGAGGGAGGAGGGGGUGAAAGUGCUGCAGUUUUUUUCUGCCCGUUUUUAGAGCAGCAGCGACAGCUCCUCGUGUCAGCAUGAUGUCUAUCCCUGCCUAAAUGUAAGCCGUGAGUAUGCUUUCUUCACCCGGCUCCACCCCUCCCGCUUUACCACUCUUGUUUCUUCUCUACAACACACGUUCAGUAUCCCCCCCACCCCCCCGUCAGAGAAGCUGAAUCAGCGAGUCAGGCAUGCGAUGGCUGCAGCAGCUGGAGAACUCCGGAGGUCAUUAUGGCUCUUCACACACAGAAGAGAAGAAAGAGGGAGGAGCAGAAAGCAGAGGAAACUGAGCUGACAGGUAAUAUAUGCUCCCUGUGCCUUCCUCCCUCCGGACAGGAGUUCGCCCCCCAUGCCGGCUGGUCCGCACUGACGUCUCUGUUUUUUCUUCUCCGUUUCGGAUGCACUGGGGUUUAAGCGCGUGGCCGGUCAGCCACGGUGUGUGGCGUGGUCUGUGAGAGGGAGUGGAAUUUACAGCUCUGCAGCAGCAUGAGGAAAAAUUACUUCUCUGGGAACACCACCUAUAGCAGGAUAUUGCUGGUCAGGGCAGCAGGCUGCUGCAGCACAGCACUCUCCGGUUCAUUACCUCGUGGCUGCAGCACCGAAGACAUCUAAAAGAUGGACUCAGUAACUUAAACUCACUGCUCUUGAAACAUGCAGCUUUUAUCUUGGAUCUUUUUACUCAGAGGCACUUUUGUAUGGAAUACCACUCUAACGGGAUGGUUACACACUUUAUCAACACUCAUUUUUCCACUGGUCAGCUCAAAUUACUGGAACCAUGUUUGGUGAUUCAAGACUGUUUCUGUAACAACAGGGGGACAGGUGUACGCUAGCCAUGAAGGGACACUGGUGUCACAGUAGGACGCGAGUUUCAGGCCAGGUGGGGGUGAAUCGGACUGAUGGAAAAACAGAUGUGAUGGCAUAUUAAUUCUCCGGGGAGGGCUGCUGAUAUGUGUGUCAGUGAGUGAACCCACAACACCCAGGGUAGUAACCCAGUUUCUCUCUGCAUGCUUACCAAUCAUUAGGCAGGGGCAGGGCUGUAGUGCUGCAGUGCCAUCUCCCCCUCUCAACACACUCAUCCCUAAAUCUUUACUAACACUGUGGCGCCACAAGAGUCCAGCCAUACCCCUCCAUCAUAUCUAACCCCAUCAAGCACCACAAACUCACCCAGGAUUUCCACCCCUGCUCAGAAUAGCCCGUCUAAGUGUUCUGUUAUAUUUCCACCCAUGCGCCUCUCCUUUUGGCCUGGUAUUGGAUAGGCUCCUGAGAGGAGGGGGAUGAGACAGGGCGGUGUUGACUUGUGGAAUGUGUGGAGCUGGAGCAAAGAUUCAUUAGAGAGCUACUGAACAUUUCAUGCUGCCAUGCAAACAGUUAUUGAUCUCUAGCACGUAGCAUUAGAGCUCUAGAGAAGCUUCUAGAAUAAACAGACCCGGGUCAACUCAGGAAAAAAAGGGAAUUGGGGGGGGGGGGUUUGCAGGAAAAAAAGAAGAGGUUAAAAAGAGAAGAAAAAUGAAAAAGGAAAGGAGAAUCAGCACACUAGUUCCAAAUCACUAUUGCUGAGUGGGCAUUAGCUCUUGCAUGUGACCUCUGGCCUGGUCUGUGUGGCUAAAGCCCAAAUCCUGCUCACAAUAGCUUCCUGUUCCACUUGGAUCAACCUCAUUUUUGGACCUCAGCAACCAGUCUGACAUACAACUGAGAAUGUGGUUAAAGAACAGACAACCGGAUGGAAAACGGGCAGAAAGGGGAUACAUACUCUGUUCAGGACACUGUUACAUUAGAAAUGCGCCUUUUUUAAGGUGUCCUUUGAACUUUCAUGGACAACAAAAAAAUCCAGGCUACAAGGAUGGAAGAGGACACUUUCCCUUAUUUUUCAACAACAUAUUUUUACCAAUUACAGAAAAAGACUAAACUUUUUACCUAUGGCACUGUUCUUUGUCAACUUCCCUACGGAUACCUCAUGCUUUCAGAGGACAGACAAGGUCAACAGAAGACAAUACUGUGUGAACCCCAAUAUGUGUAAUGCAUACUGGUGUAACAGUGUUGGGAUGGGGCAAAAGAAAGCAUGACUUAAAGAAACUCUGAAAGUGACCUUAUGUAUAAUGUUAAUCCACUGCAUUCUGCAGAAUGGUUAAAAAAUGGCCAGUGAUCUACCGACGGUGAUUAAACAUGCGUUUGGUUUAUAUAAGGGCUGCGCUAACCAAACAUCAAAUCAGAGAAGGUAAGGAAACUCAGCUGUGUCUGGGGCUGCCUACUUGGUGUACAUACUUCUUUAUGUGCCCAUAUGAACAUAUAACAGCUAUGGAAUGUAAAGAAGUAUGUAUUCUUGGUAAGGCACUGAUCCUCAGUUUAAAAACUUUGCCAUGAUUCUCUGCAUCACUGAAUUUUGGUACAUGGAGACAGUGUGACGAAUUCUGAAACUGGGGUGCAGAAACUUACUGCAGCAGUGGAUUCUGAGAGAAGUUGCUGCUCUUUCAGUGACUUCACCAGCAAUCCACACCACCCCUCCCUAAUUCAGCAACUGACAUGCUAGAUAGUUCAAUCUGGCAUGCUAUAGUUCAUUGUUGCAGGUAGACUAACAUUAAAAUUUAAGUUUGUAGGGCCCACUUUCUUGGUGACAGAACAAGUUCAGUCACUGCAACCUAAAAGAUGCAAUAACGGCCUGAGACAUCGGCAUAGGAACAGGAGCUCCUUUCAUUAUUGUAGUUUGCUGCAUUCUAGGCUUCGAAUUGUGGCCAGCUGCAACUAAGAUCCUGUUCCUGCAGGAGCGGCAUACGCCAGAACCAUUAAUACCUUAAUCUUUUCAAACUUGUCUAGAAAGGGUAAAUUUAGGACAACUUCACUUUUUUUGACCAUUUGAAUCUUGAAAAUUGAACCUUGCUACAAGGAAGCUGCUGAGGUAACAGUUCCAUAAAGGUGAGCAGCGCUUGGCUAUUAAAAGGAAGCUUCUCUCACAUUGCGGGAUAGUACGGUGGUCUGUUUCACCCUGUCACCCGUUCCUGCCCCCAUUGUUCAUGUUUGCUAUGCUUGCCAAAUGCUUUGCUGGACCACAGGGUAGUCAGAUUAGAGCAUGGAAAAGUGACAAUGCAGGAUCAGAGGGGUCUGCCUGUCAGCUGAUUCCAUUUGUCCUUUACAAAAUGUAAACGGAGGCCUUCAGAAGAGAACAUCUAAGCAUGUUCUCUUUCAUUUUUUGUCUAUUUGUGUGCAGCAGGUUACAAUAACAAUCACUGAACAGAGUAGAACGAAUGUACUAGUAGAACAAAUGUAUUACACAAUGCUGAACUUUUAAGCUGAUCAACAGGUGAUGAAAACAGUUGUGCGAGGGGAUAAGGUAAUCAAGGACAGUUGUACCUAAGGGUUUGAAUGCUUCAAACCUACUCCAAGCCUUUGGCAGUGCACCAGGUCAUCUAUCUGUUGAGGUAAUAUUUGAUUUGCGGUGAUGACUAAAGUUAGAGCGCACCUGCAAUUUCUUGCAUAAUGUCCGAUAAAAGCUUCUGUUUUAAACCUCUCACUCAUUCACGUUACAGGCCAAGAAAAAAUGUAAUGGAUGCAUUGUGUGAAAAGAUACAGUAAGGGUUUUUGGUCAUGACUGGAGCCUGGGAGAGCUUAUGGCCCAUUUUUCUGAAUGUCAGACACUCCCGUCUGUCCUCUGUAGGGCUGUGCUCUUUCCAUUUUUGUGCACCGCUUGCUGUAUGGUUCGCUCCUGUCAGUCGUAUGGCUGUGUUCCCUCUUUCUCGCCCUCAACCCCAGCCUGAGUGACACCCACAGCAGAUGCUGACAUUAUCAAAUGUUCAGCUGCUAUCCCUGGCUUUUGCCCUCUUAUGGCCAGUGUAUUUGGGGGCCGAACUUUGUCCAGAAUGCCGCAAGCAAGUGUCUGUGUAACGCAGGGAGGGGGAUCUGUGGAGUAAAUAGCACUUUACUGACCCCUGUUUAAUGAGCGCCAUAUUGAGCAGCAAUGACCCCUUGCUUACACUCUCAGCUGGCCACCUGCUAAGGAGCUAAAGAGGCUUUUUGGCCGCCUCAAAGCUGAUGGACAGUCAACUGCGUCUUACAAAACAACGCUUUGGCUUGAGCUCACUGUGUGUCACCGAAUUGUCUUCUGGAGUUCAUUCUGCCUUGAAUUGUGACUGACAUGUAGUACAAAUAUCUGUAUUAGUCACUUCCACCACACUCCUUUAUUAGAUUAAGUAGGCAAAUUAGCCCUGCAAUGUAGCCAAGUAUGACUGAAUCUUUUCAAAUUUAAGAAAGUGACAACUACAAAAAGCAGCACAAGCUGACAUCUUGAUCGCCCAAGCGACACUCUGCCCUCGGCAGGCUUAAUCCAUCAGCAGCUGUUAUUGCUACAAGUCUCGCGGACACUCGAUUUGAGUGCACCAUGAUAGAUUAUUAUCUUUUUCACUGAGCACAUUUCUCUCUUUUUUUUUUUUUUUUAACGAGAAAGAAAACCUCUGGAGUGCAGUGAAAUGUAUUAUUUGAUAGGUGUAGAGAAACAGUCUGAAAUGAGUCCAUGCGACAUUGCUUGUCGCGUUUCGCAAAGUUUAACUGUUUAAGGUCAUAAAACAGAGUCACAUAAGCUGAUCCUUAUCAGUCUCAUUAAUAUCAAACCACAAUGCUUUGCUAAAGCUGGUAAAAUGGAACCAAAUCACCUCUUCAAUGGAUUUGGUCCCCUUCAACCAGCUGUAGCUAUGCUUUGAUGACAACAUGAAUUGUUUCUAUCUUGCCUUUUUUGCUUCCGCAGGAAACUGAGACAAUAUAUUUCAUUAAUUUCAGUGUGACAAAGCUGAUUUUAAUAAACGUUAAUACAAUGUAUUGUGACUGCCUUUUCUACAAACUGAUUUUUUUUUUUUUUAAAGAAAUAAAAUUUUACAAGCAUGG